UACGGAAGGGGGCAUAGCGUUGUUCGGAAUUAGCUGGGCGUAAGCGCACGUAGGCGGAUUUUUAAGUCAGGGGUGAAACUCCCGAGGCUCAACCUCGGAACUGCCUUUGAUACUGGAGAUCUUGAGUUCGGAAGGAGGUUGGUGGAACAGCUAGUGUAGAGGUGAAAUUCGUAGAUAUUAGCUAGAACACCAGUGGCGAAGGCGGCCAACUGGUCCGAUAC
rnacentral:rRNA from 1 species